rnacentral:rRNA from 1 species
GAAGGACUGAAGCUAGCGAGGGAAACAGGAUGCCAUAAUGUGAUAGUAAGAUCGGACAAUAUCACGGUGGUGGAGGCACUCAAAUUCAAUGGUGGCUACUCCAUGGUGGCAGCACCGUUAUUUGAUGAAUGUCGUAGUUUUCUCGAAGACUUUAGGAGGUUUACUAUCGAGCAUUGUAUUAGAGAGUUAAAUAGCGUAGCUCAUGAGCUAGCAAGAUGGGGUAGUGCUAUUAAUCCAUCUCGCUGGAUUGACGCCCCGCCUGAUUUCAUUGUAAAUCUUUUGGCAGACGAUGUUUCUAUUCUUUGA